ACCACGGAGCCUGAGGACGAGAUGUAGAGUCGACUCCUUCUGGAUGUUGUAAUCGGCUAGGGUUCUCCCGUCCUCGAGCUGCUUUCCGGCGAAGAUGAGCCUCUGCUGAUCCGGAGGAAUACCCUCCUUGUCUUGAAUCUUGGCUUUAACAUUGUCGAUGGUGUCAGAGCUUUCCACCUCAAGGGUGAUCGUCUUUCCCGUGAGUGUCUUAACGAAGAUCUGCAUCUGGGUUGUAUUUAGAGAGAGAGAGAGAGAGAGAGAGAGAGAGAGAGAGAGAGAGCUGCUUACAUCUUCAUCAGUGUAGGAGUGCAAUGGAAAUAUGUCACCAUCGUCAAGACAAAUGCACAUAUUAAUCUACAUAAUAAGAGAUAACCAAGGGCAGUAAUGAGAUUCAUGACUCAGCUCAGUAAAAGUAUAAAAUAAAUAAGGAUAGAGCUAUCUAGUAUAUAUGGUAAUGAAGUCACUCGAAUGAGUGUUAAAAUAGAACAAAGCCAUAAACUUUCACAGAAUCUCCAAGAGCAAAAACAUUAAACUAAGACGGUUCAUAGUCAAGCUAAGUAACUCUGCACUUUGAAAAGAAACCCAUCAAGCAAAGUUUUCAAUUUUAUUCAGACAAGUGAUACGAUAACAUCUCAGGAUAACAAUGAGAAACCCUAAAUCAGACAAAAAAAUGAUACUUUCACAGAUCCCCUAACUUGAAAACCUUAAACGGAGAUUUCGUAAAAAGAAGAGAU